GAAAAGGUGUGAGUCGGGGGGUUUGAGGGUGGAGGAAUGAGUGAAAUGUGAUCCAUGAUUGGAAGGAAAAAGAAAGACCAUAGCCACGUGGAUUUAAUGAUUUUAAAACAUAAAUAAAAUUACAGCUCAGUUCAAAGUUAACGCCGUCUCAAUACACUUAACGAUUGGGGUAAAAUGUUGUAAAAUGUUUGCAUUUCAUAAGGACUUGAGGAAAAAGUGUGAUAAGUGAUUGGAAGGAAAAAGAAAGACCAUAGCCACAUGGAUUUAAUGAUUUUAAAACAUAAAAAAAAAAUUACAGCUCAAUUCAAAGUUAAUGUCGUCUAAAUACACUUAAUGGUUGGGGUAAAAUGUUGUAAACUGUUUGCAUUUCAUAAGGACUUGAGGAAAAACUUGAGGACCAAACUGAGAUUUUCACACAAAUAUAAGGACCAAGAGAGGAAUUAAGCCUAAAAUAAAAAAUUCAUCUCAGCAUCAAUUAACGUCGUUUGAGACAACUUAACGGUUAGGGUAAAAUGUGUGCAUUUUUACAAAAAUUAUGACCCAAUUGAGACAGUUCAAAACUUGAGGACCAAACUGAGAUUGGCAUACAAAUAUG
rnacentral:lncRNA from 1 species